GGGGUUAUAGCUGAGUGAGAGAAUGUAUGCCUAGAAUGCAUGAGGUCCUGGGUUCAAUCCCUAGUACUUCCA
rnacentral:tRNA from 1 species